AAAAUUUAUUUUUAAUUAUGAGGGGGGAAAUCAAUUUAAUAAAGCAUACCUCAAAUUAAUCUCUCAAUCAAACAGAUAAUUCACGUCGUUUUGGUUUUCAAAUUCAGCCUUUCAGUUUUUUUUUUUCCAUGGCGUGCCGUAGGAAAUUUGGAAUUCCUUGGCCUGAAUGCAACGACGGUCUCUCCUACGACGACGUCGUUCGAACCUCUGAUUCCGGGUUGACUCUGAUAGAGUUUUACUCUACCAAGUACAAAAGUUCUGCUCCCUUACAAGGUUGGUUGCAGCGUAUAAAAAGUGGGCAGAUAACAUUUGAUGGAAGAGUUGUUACUGAUUCCAACGCAGUCCUCAGAGUUGGCUCAAAGCUAGUCUAUCAUAGACUUCCAUGGAAGGAACCUGAUGCACCACAUAUGAUUGAAGUAUUGUAUGAAGAUGAUGACAUGAUUGCUCUAAAUAAACCUUCUGGCUUGCAAGUUCUGCCAGGAGGGCUCUUCCAGCAAAGGACAGUUUUGACACAGCUUCAGUGGAAAGCCAACUUGCACAAAAAGCCUCAUCCUGUCCCAGUACAUCGUCUAGGGAGGGGAACUUCAGGAAUUUUGUUAUGUGCAAAGACAAAACUAGCCAGAGUUCGUCUUGCGUCUUAUUUUGCUGAUGGAACUUCUCACAUUGAAGGAAAAAGAGAUACAAACCCGGAAAUUGGGAAGAUUGCAAAGAUAUACCGAGGACUUGCGAGUGGGAUAGUGGAGAAUGACCAGGUGACUAUCAAUCAACCAAUUGGAGUAGUUAAAUAUCCAUGUGUUGCUAAAGGGUUAUACGUUGCCUCUGAAUCAGGAAAACCAGCACUCAGUGUGGUGAGCAUUCUGGAGAGAAACGUACAAGAAAACAGCACAUUGGUCCAGGUUAAGAUUCAGUCUGGACGGCCACAUCAAAUCCGUAUUCAUCUUUCUUUCAUGGGGCAUCCUCUGUUAGGUGAUCCCCUGUAUGAUGUCGGCGGGAAACCUAAAUGCUUAGAUUGUGACUCUAUAGAUGAGAGUUUUGCUGAAGAUGGGGGUUAUCAAAGGCCUAUAAAAGCAGUUCCUGGAGAUUGUGGGUAUAACUUGCAUGCACAUAAAUUGGUUCUGUCUCAUCCAUUAACUAACGAGAUAAUUGAAAUCACUGCACCGCUUCCUUCUACCCUCCAGACACCUGAAGAGGCAAAGGAAAUUGCUAGUAUGGAGCAGACUUUUCAAGAUGUUUAAGUGAAAGAUGUAUGAAGCCAAAGUAACGACGUGUUAUCUUCCUUGCCAACAUUUGUAUUCAAAAGUUCUAUCAAACACAACUACUUGAUAUCUCAACAAAUCCUCAUUUUCUUCACGAAAUUGUUUCACUAAUUUGUCCGAAACAGUGUCAAAAAAUUUCUGCAUGAUUGGAUGAAGCUGAAUAACCAGUAACUCAACACUUAUUUAUACCGAAUUCCCUAAUUCUACAAUUAGAAACGCCGCAGAGUCAAUGCCUACCGAAAUAAAGUAACUACGGGCAGAGUUGAAAUAAAGCAUCUGAUCUGUAAAGGCCAUCUCUGGAAGGAUCCAGAAGCUCGAAAAGAUCGUCAAAAUGAGUAGUGAGACGGCAAGGAUCCAGAAUUUGGCAAUGGUAAUGGCAAUCGCCCCUCCUAACCUUUUCAGAGAUUAUUUCUGUAUUUUCAUCCAAUACAACAAAUACAAAGCUGCUGCCAUAUUACAAGCACCUAAA